UUACAUCUUCUCUUGAGUUUGCAGUUGUUUCCUACCUCCGUUGUUCCUUGGGAUUUACUUUUGUGCUCCUUGCUCCUUCAUUUGGGUUGUUUUGGAUUCGUCACAGACAUUUUUAAUCUGGAGAAAUGCUGGAACUUACUCGUCGGCUCUGCUGGUGACACUUCUGGGACAAGGAAGACGUGACAGAGAGUUCAUGACCUCCUCCCCAUCACAGCUCUCAUGGCCAUCCUUCACCAUUUGACUGAGCAUGUGUCUCAGCACCUCAUCCAGAGUGGCAGCUUUCUCAUCCAAAAGGAUGCUGGCCUGGGCAAGGAAGCUGUACCGAAAGACACACUAUGUCUGCGAGUUCAAAGCAGGAAAAAGUAUGCAGACGAUCAUGCCCCCCCUCUACAGGAGAUGUGACCAGUUACUGAUGGGAGAGAUUCAUAUGAUCACAAACCUCCAAGACCUCCACUACAGCCUGAGAAUCCAAAAAUAAAAGAAGGAAAGGACCCUGUCUGCUGUCUGUCCCACAACCAGAUAAAACCUACAACAUCCCAGCUGAUACAGAGAAGGGAAGGGCAGCAGUCUUCCAGAAAACAGUCUUAUAUUUCUCCAGGCUCCCCACUGUCCAGAUCAUGGCAUCAAUUGGCCUUUGACUAUGACCUUACUUGCCAGCAUACAUAGAUAUACACAAAUGAAUAGGUUACGUGAAUGUAUUCACUUUUCUUUUCUUUUUUCACGUCUAAGAAAAUCUUGUUAGUCCUGAGAAAAAAUCUGAAUUAUAGGAAAAGGUGAAUAUUCAAUGAUAAAAUGUCAGAAUUGUAAGAAAUCAUUUUAAAUUCAAUGAUGGGGGUGAACAUUUUUUAAAAAAGGUCAUAAUUAAAAAAAAAAGACAGAUUUAUGAAAGAAAGUCUGAAUAUUAGGAAAAACAAAUAAUUUAAAAAAAAAAGUCAGAAUUCUUAAAUAAAAGUCAGAUGUCUUAGACUUAAAAGAAAAAGUCAGAAUAUGAUACGUCAGACUUUAUAGAAUGUUGAGAUUAAAUCUGAGAUCUCAGAUUUUCUCAGAAUUAUCUUAAAAACAAAAAAAAAUGAGAUCUGAAAAAAAAUCAGUGGCUCUUAUCCUUGUUUUUGUUCAUGAAUAUGCAUUGGCAGAGGGAAAAGCAUGCACACUUACCAAAUGAAUGCACUUAACUUUUUGAGGAGUACAGAUUAUGUCAAAAAUCCCUUUAGGUGCAAUUAAAACGAAAUGUGUACAACUUUC